AUGCACAAUGAUUUUAUUCGAACACGGAGAAUUAUUAGUCAAAUUACGUUUCAUUAGAGUAUUAAUAUAUUAAUAUUGACUGGCAGCACUGAAUUUUGGACUGAGAUGGGGUAUUUUUAGAGCGAAGUUUAAGGGAAUUCUCGAGGCGAGGAAGUGAUAUGAAGAAACUGAAAGCUUGAAACUCUAAAGAUGAAGAUUGAAUCUGUAGAUAUAGAUCUUUCUUCCAAAUCUAUUAACAUAGAUAUAAAGAAAAAGCCAAAAGAUAAAAAUGGAUGGUUACGUGCUACUUUAGAUGAUAUUUCAAAAGCAUCAACUGCAAAACAGUUAACUGUUGGAGGAUUAUCUGGAUGGUGUUCUGGUUAUUUAUUUACUAAAGUUGGAAAAGUAGCAGCAGCAGCUGUAGCUGGAAGUAUUAUAUUUUUGCAGAUUGCACAAUAUAGAGGUUAUAUCAAAGUUAAUUGGACCACAGUAAAUAAAGAUCUGAACAAAGCAAAACAGAAUUUGGAAAAAGAAGCAAAGAACAGGCUUCCUCAACUUGUUAAUGAAGGGCAAAAAUUUGUAGAAGAAAAUGUGGUUUUAGUUACGGGCUUUGCUGGUGGCUUCCUUCUUGGUUUAGCAUCUGCCUGAUAUAAUGACUUUUAAGUAGUAUAAUGAGGAAAGAAUAUAUUUUGUUUUCUGAAAAAUACAAUGCUUUUCUGUACAGGAUAUAAACAAACCAAGAGGCCAAACAAUUGCAGCACACCUAUCGGCAAACUUGUUUAUUACCUCUACUUUUAAGGGUGAAAAUAAUAGGCAUCCAUUGACUCUGGUAAAAGUUUACUUAGGUAGUCCGAAUGGUGACCAGCAUAGCUACUUACACCGGCAUUUAAAUAAAAAAAACUUUCAUUCACCAUUGACAUAUUUCUAAUUCCUUGUCUCUUGAUUCAUUCAAUAAAAAGCAUGGUUCGGAUAAUUCUUUCAUAACUUAGUCCUUUUCAAUUGUAGAAACUUUUUCCGCAUUCUUAACAUAUAUCUACAUUCUUCCUAUUAAGAUUAUCAGGUUUUAUUUGGUGCUUACCUUCAGGACUGAAGGUACAAUAUUUGGCUCUUUCCAAACUUACUCGUAUGUUGAACAAACAGGUCGAAAAAUAUUGGGAUUACUCCCAAUAUUUUUUCUUCUUGGAACUAUAUAACGAACGAAAACUGAUUUUAUAGUUAAUAUAUUUAAAUAAGUUGUCAUUUCAGCGAGAUCUGUGAAACUCCCACAAAAUCAAUGCCCUCUUUUUCUCGCAAUUUUACAAUCUUUAUCAAACCAUUCAAGACCAACUCUGCCUCUUAUCCCAAAUUUUCUUACUAAUCCACAUUGCCUAGCAGAUUUUCAAAUGAAAGUAAUGAUUAAUGAAUAAGUUCAUUCAAUAUUGUCACAAUUGUAUUAAUUAUGCAGUAUUUGUGAAUCUUAGAGAAAAGUUUGUAAUACUUUUAAUCUAACAUUGAUUAAAAUUUUUUUCAAAUAUUUUAUUACUCUACGAAUCUUUCACAAGUUCUCUCAAAUUCAAGAUUCUCUCAGUUUGAGGGCAAAUGUUAACAAAACUGUUUAAAAAAAAAAAGAUAAAUAAUACCAUUUAAAUUAAAAUUAUUUCUAAUUUUAAGCUUUAAAGUGGAUGAACAAAAUCAUUCCCCACACAAAUAUCCAUACAUACAGAAAAUUCCCCAAAUUUUCUCCACAUUUCAAGAUUCCAAGUCCAAAAAUGUAAAAAUUUUGGAGUCAUUUUUGUAGGACCUUUCAAGAUUUUUACAUAGUUUGAUAUGCACAAAGUAUGAGGAUUAGGAGGAAAAAAAAACAUUUGUAACU
rnacentral:misc_RNA from 1 species